rnacentral:rRNA from 1 species
GUAGGGAAUAUUGGACAAUGGGGGGAACCCUGAUCCAGCCAUGCCGCGUGGAGGAAGACUGCCCUCUGGGUUGUAAACUCCUUUUAUAUGGGAAGAACCGUCCUCAUUAAUGAGUGACCUGACGGUACCAUAGGAAUAAGCACCGGCUAACUCCGUGCCAGCAGCCGCGGUAAUACGGAGGGUGCAAGCGUUAUCCGGAUUCACUGGGUGUAAAGGGUGCGUAGGCGGAUAAAUAAGUCAGUGGUGAAAUCAACGGGCUCAACCUGUUAACUGCCAUUGAUACUGUGUAUCUUGAAUAUGAGAGAGGUAGGCGGAAUGUUGCAUGUAGCGGUGAAAUGCUUAGAUAUGCUACGGAACACCGAUUGCGAAGGCAGCUUACUAUUUCGUAAUUGACGCUGAGGCACGAAAGCGUGGGUAGCGAACAGGAUUAGAUACCCGGGUAGUCC